AUCUUUCGGUCGGUCGGUCGGUCAGUGAGCGAUUACCUCAUAAUAAACACGAAGGAGGACGGCGCAGGCCCGGGGCUCGCUAGAUCUCUUCCCCGCGCCUACUGCCCGGGUUUGUAUUCCCCGCGAUUGUCGAAGCGCUCUUGAUCCUUCAAAAAUCUCUCCUCACUCGCGCUGCUCCUCCUUCUUUAAAACCGCUGCGGCGGCGGCGGAGGCGGUCGUUGCGUGCUGAGAGGGAGUAAUUGGUUAGGUGACUAGCGCGACUUCAGGGCGUUCGUGCGGUACACCUCGCAGGCGGGGACGAGCGGCGGGUACCUUGAGCGUAUAUUCUAGGACCCGAAAGAUGGUGAACUAUGCCUGGCCAGGAUGAAGCCAGAGGAAACUCUGGUGGAAGUCCGUAGCGAUUCUGACGUCAAAUCGA
rnacentral:rRNA from 1 species